rnacentral:sRNA from 1 species
AUCAUUACUCUUUAUCUGUGAAGAGUAGAACAUGAAGAAAUCUACUUUAUUCAGAUAUUCUCUAGAUUCCUAAAGAUUAGAGAUCAUUUCUCAUUCUUCUAGGAGUACUCACUUCAGGAAGCAUCCAGAUAAAAGAUACAUAUAGAACAGACUGCAGCAGAGAGGCAAAUCUUUAAUGUUGUGAGAGUAUAGACAAGUUGGUGAAACGGCUACAUGAGGGAGGAGGACAAGAAGGUGCAGAUUGUGGCAGUCACUUCAAAUGGAAAUAUCACUGCUUGAAUGAAGGUAUGUGAGUGUCAACUUGCAAGGGGACCAGAGAGGUGCAACGGAAGCGAGAACAUUCCUCCUGGAAAUUCAACCUAUUUCGCAAUUUCUCGAGGAAUCAACAUUCAGUCAAUCCGGGCCGGGAGCAGUCAUUUGUGGUGAGACUGAUUGGCUGGGCAGGAACAGCGCCGGGGCGUGGGCUGAGCACAGCCGCUUCGCUCUCUUUGCCACAGGAAGCCUGAGCUCAUUCGAGUAGCGGCCCUUCCAAGCUCAAAGAAGCAGAGGCCGCUGUGCGUUUCCUCCAGGUCUUUCCACUAA